rnacentral:rRNA from 1 species
GACGAACGCUGGCGGCGUGCUUAACACAUGCAAGUCGAGCGGAAAGGCCCUGCUUUUGUGGGGUGCUCGAGUGGCGAACGGGUGAGUAACACGUGAGUAACCUGCCCUUGACUUUGGGAUAACUUCAGGAAACUGGGGCUAAUACCGGAUAGGAGCUCCUGCUGCAUGGUGGGGGUUGGAAAGUUUCGGCGGUUGGGGAUGGACUCGCGGCUUAUCAGCUUGUUGGUGGGGUAGUGGCUUACCAAGGCUUUGACGGGUAGCCGGCCUGAGAGGGUGACCGGCCACAUUGGGACUGAGGUACGGCCCAGACGCCUACGGGGGGCAGCAGUGGGGAAUAUUGCACAAUGGGCGGAAGCCUGAUGCAGCAACGCCGCGUGCGGGAUGACGGCCUUCGGGUUGUAAACCGCUUUCGCCUGUGACGAAGCGUGAGUGACGGUAAUGGGUAAAGAAGCACCGGCUAACUACGUG